rnacentral:sRNA from 1 species
AUUCACCCUUAAGGCUUUCUUAGGCUUACUCAGUCACCUUACGAUCACAUCCAGUCACCUGGAUCCGAGCGGCCCGGCCGCUCUUGUUUGACGCCUCCCUGUUGACUUCAGAGCCGCCUCACGGGCGGCUCUUUUUUU